CAGUGCGAUCAUACCAGCGUUAAUGCACCGGAUCCCAUCAGAACUCCGCAGUUAAGCGAGCUUGGGCUAGAGUAUUACUGGGAUGGGUGACCUCCCAGGAGGUCCUAGUGUUGCACCCU
rnacentral:rRNA from 1 species